AGCUGAGGUAAUAUAACCCAUAAGAAGUACAGAUUCUGCCAUAAUGCUGUUCAUUCAGUGGUUGCUACAGUUGCUACAGUGGUUUCUUGGAUGGGGAGAGAAGUAUAAAGAAGACCGAGACUGUUACUUGCUUAUGUCUGAGAGACAGAAGGAGCUAAUGCAUCUCAUGGUGAUACUUCAUGAAAUGUUUAAGAAGCUAGAGGAGAAG